UACGAAGGGGGCUAGCGUUGUUCGGAUUUACUGGGCGUAAAGCGCACGUAGGCGGAUCGUUAAGUCGGGGGUGAAAUCCUGGAGCUCAACUCCAGAACUGCCUUCGAUACUGGCGAUCUCGAGUCCGGAAGAGGUGAGUGGAAUUCCGAGUGUAGAGGUGAAAUUCGUAGAUAUUCGGAGGAACACCAGUGGCGAAGGCGGCUCACUGGUCCGGUACUGACGCUGAGGUGCGAAAGCGUGGGGAGCAAACAGG
rnacentral:rRNA from 1 species